CUGAAAAAAGCACAAAUGUCAGGGCAUGUCAAAAAUUCUCCAGGCCCCAAAUCAGCCUCAGACUCCAGAGGGUUAAGGAUCCAGCGUCAGAUGUUUUUUCUGACGUCACGACGCACGGGCGUCUUGAACUGUCUGCUCGAAUCUAUUUUCUCGGAUUGAAAGCAGCGCGAGAUAUUUGAAAUGCUGUGGGCGGGAAGUGCGCGUGGUGCGGGAGAAAACGCCCGAGGCUGUGAGGAUUCCUGCAUUAUAAUAUUGAGUUAAGUUUUUAAAUUGAUAUUUGUCUGUUCUUUUAUUUGUCUUUGAUUUCAUGUAUAUGUUUGCCCAAAAUGAUGCUCCAAAUCUGUAAGUAAAGACAUUGUGAGCUAACCUUACAUUUGCCUAAAUUGGUAUUUUGCUUCGUCAAGGGAAAAAUGUUAGGAUAUUUUUUUAGUAUAAAUCAUGAUCAUGACUUUUUUUUAGUAGUAGUAGAAAUAGAUUAUAACAGUAUUAUUUGCACAACUAAUUAAUUGACCUAGCAAACAACUUUCGACCACUGAUAAGUGCUGUAAAAAUGUUUCUCCCCUUAGGACCUAAAUGUUUUCAAUGAUGUUUGAUGACCGAGGGCAUUUUGCCAUACUUGAUUUCAGGAACCACACCCGAGGUCAGACUACUAUUAAUAACUGCAACAACAGAUGGUCCUAUAGUGGGAAAAACCUCCUUAAAUAGUCGAGGUGGGACAACAUGUUACAGAUCCCUUGUCUUCCUGGACUCCAUUUCCCAUGAUCCUCCUGUUUCAUCACCUGCACUCACUUCCCUCGUCAUCUCCUCAUCAUCACGGAUCACCUGCACCUGGACUUGAUCAUCUGCACUCCCUAUAUAUUGCACUCACUCCCUGCACUCCUUGUCCGUUCUCUGUUGUGUUAACGUUGUAUGUUGGUGUUCCUGCCUUGUUCAAGUAAAGAUCUAUAUGUA